rnacentral:rRNA from 1 species
GAUGAACGCUGGCGGCGUGCCUAAUACAUGCAAGUCGAGCGAACAGACGAGGAGCUUGCUCCUCUGACGUUAGCGGCGGACGGGUGAGUAACACGUGGAUAACUUACCUAUAAGACUGGGAUAACUUCGGGAAACCGGAGCUAAUACCGGAUAAUAUAUUGAACCGCAUGGUUCAAUAGUGAAAGACGGUUUUGCUGUCACUUAUAGAUGGAUCCGCGCCGGAUUAGCUAGUUGGUAAGGUAACGGCUUACCAAGGCAACGAUGCGUAGCCGACCUGAGAGGGUGAUCGGCCACACUGGAACUGAGACACGGUCCAGACUCCUACGGGAGGCAGCAGUAGGGAAUCUUCCGCAAUGGGCGAAAGCUUGACGGAGCAACGCCGCGUGAGUGAUGAAGGUCUUCGGAUCGUAAAACUCUGUUAUUAGGGAAGAACAAAUGUGUAAGUAACUAUGCACGUCUUGACGGUACCUAAUCAGAAAGCCACGGCUAACUACGUG